rnacentral:rRNA from 1 species
UACGGAGGAUCCGAGCGUUAUCCGGAUUCAUUGGGUUUAAAGGGUGCGUAGGUUGUUUUAUAAGUUAGCGGUGAAAUACCGAUGCUCAACAUCGGGGCUGCCGCUGAUACUGUAGGACUAGAGAUCGGAUGCAGCAGGCGGAAUGUGUAGUGUAGCGGUGAAAUGCGUAGAUAUAUGGAAGAACACCAGUGGCGAAAGCGGCUCUCUGGUCUGUAACUGACGCUGAGGUUCGAAAGCGUGGGUAGCAAACAGG